ACGGAUUAAGAUUUUCACAUCUAUCAGAGGAUUAUUUACUCAUGUUCAUCCUGAUGUUUCAAAGAGUUUUGGAGGAUUCAGAGAUCCUGUCAGAACAACAACCAGAAAACCAGAAAAACAUCACAGCGGAGCCUGACAGAACGUCACUCUGACAUGUAAAGCUCCAAACAACAACAACAUCAUAGUUGCAGAGUGGAGCAGAGCUGACCUGGAGCCAGAGUAUGUGUUUGUGUUCCGGAAUGGGAAGUUUGAUCCAGAAAACCAGCAUCCAACUUUUGUGAACCGGGCGGAGCUGCAGGAUUCACAGAUGAAGGAUGGAGACGUGUCUGUGAUUCUGCAGAAGGUGACGACUGAUGACACUGGAACAUACGAGUGUCACGUCCAAAGAGAGGGAGAUAGUAUGAAGCUUAUGAACACCAUCAGAGUGACAGUUGCUGCUCCUCCUCCAGGUCAAUCAGGAGGAGACACAGAGGAUGGAGGGAGGAAGGGUGGAGUCAGCAGUGCAGUCAGCAGAGGACGUCCUGGACUGCUGGCAGUUCUUGGUGCUGGAGCUGUUGUUGUUGUUGUUGGUUUGUUGUAAUCUAUAGAAAACAAAGAACCACGUCAGAAGUCACAGCAAUGUCCUGUUGAACCGAUGCAAACUAAACUGAGACCUCCUACCAGCUGCUCUGUGAUUCUCCUGCUGCUGCUCUUAUUUCUUGAUGAGUGCAGAACAACAAAUGCUCUGAAGACAGAGAGCAGUUAAUAUCCAGCUGCAUCUCUCAUUAAAGUCAUUCUCAAUUUGGUCUUCUGGUUUUUGUGAAGGAAACGUGGUUAUUCUGAAAGAACCAGAAGCCUUAAACUCAAGUGUGUGAUGUUGUGAUUGUGUAAACAUGCUGAGAGGAUUG